CUAGGAAUCUUGCGCAAUGGACGAAAGUCUGACGCAGCGACGCCGCGUGCGGGAUGAAGGCCUUAGGGUCGUAAACCGCUUUCAGCAGGGACGAAAUUGACGGUACCUGCAGAAGAAGCCCCGGCCAACUACGUGCCAGCAGCCGCGGUAAUACGUAGGGGCGGCAGCGUUGUUCCGGUCAGUUUUAUUGGGGCGUAAAAGAGCUCGUAGGCGGUUUGGUAAGUUGGAUGUGAAAUCUCCAGGCUCAACUUGGAGGGGUCGAUUCGAUACUGCCAUGACUAGAGUUCGGUAGGGAGUGUGGAAUUCCUGGUGAGCGGUGAAAUGCAGCAGAUAUCAGGAGGAACACCCGUAGCGAAGGCGGCACUUCUGGGCCGGAACUGACGCUGAGGAGCGAAAGCGU
rnacentral:rRNA from 1 species